UACAGAGGGGGCAAGCGUUGUUCGGAAUUACUGGGCGUAAAGGGCUCGUAGGCGGCCAACUAAGUCGGAUGUGAAAUCCCCGGGCUCAACCCGGGAACUGCGUCCGAUACUGGUGGGCUUGAAUCCGGGAGAGGGAUGCGGAAUUCCAGGUGUAGCGGUGAAAUGCGUAGAUAUCUGGAGGAACACCGGUGGCGAAGGCGGCAUCCUGGACCGGUAUUGACGCUGAGGCGCGAAAGCCAGGGGAGCAAACGGG
rnacentral:rRNA from 1 species